rnacentral:rRNA from 1 species
AUACGGAGGGUGCAAGCGUUAAUCGGAAUUACUGGGCGUAAAGCGCUCGUAGGCGGCUUGUUAAGUCGGAUGUGAAAGCCCCGGGCUCAACCUGGGAACUGCAUUCGAUACUGGCAAACUAGAGUAUAGAAGAGGCAAGUGGAAUUCCGGGUGUAGCGGUGAAAUGCGUAGAUAUCCGGAGGAACAUCAGUGGCGAAGGCGACUUGCUGGUCUAAUACUGACGCUGAGGAGCGAAAGCGUGGGGAGCAAACGGGAUUAGAUACCCCUGUAGUCC